rnacentral:rRNA from 1 species
GUCUUUUUGAAAUAAUAAUUCAAAGUCUAAUCUGCCCACUGAUAGUUAUAUUAAAGGGCUGCAGUAUUUUGACUGUACAAAGGUAGCAUAAUCAUUAGUCUCUUAAUUGGUGACUUGUAUGAAUGAUUGGAUGAGAUAUAAGCUGUUUCUUAUUUAUUCAUAAAAUUUAAUUUUUUCAUUAAAAAGUGAAAAUAAAUUUAAAAGACGAGAAGACCCCAUAGAGUUUUAUAUAUGAAAUAAUUUAAUAAUUAUGUUUAAGAAAAUUAAUUAAAAUUAUUUAUUAUAUUUUAUUGGGGUGAUAAAAAAAUUAAGAAAACUUUUUUAUAAUUUUUCCAUAAAUAAGUGAAUAAAUGAUCCAUUAUUAUUGAUUAAAAGAAAAAAUUACCUUGGGGAUAACAGCGUAAUUUUUUCUUUUAGUUCAAAUAGGAGAAAGAGUUUGCGACCUCGAUGUUGGAUUAAGAUAAAAUUUAAAUGCAAAAGUUUAAAAUUUUGAUCUGUUCGAUCAUUAAAAUCUUACAUGAUCUGAGUUCAAACCGGUGUAAGCCAGGUUGGUUUCUAUCUUUAAAUAAAUUAAAUAUUUUAGUACGAAAGGAUUGAAUAUUUAAAAUAAUUUUUAAUUUUAGAAUUUUAUUAAUUUGAUUAUAGAAUUAAAAUUUUUAUUUUAUUAAUAUAU